GAUGAACGCUGGCGGCGUGCCUAAUACAUGCAAGUCGAACGCUUCACUUCGGUGAAGAGUGGCGAACGGGUGAGUAAUACAUAAGUAACCUGGCAUCUACAGGGGGAUAACUGAUGGAAACGUCAGCUAAGACCGCAUAGGUGUAGAGAUCGCAUGAACUCUAUAUGAAAAGUGCUACGGGACUGGUAGAUGAUGGACUUAUGGCGCAUUAGCUGGUUGGUAGGGUAACGGCCUACCAAGGCGACGAUGCGUAGCCGACCUGAGAGGGUGACCGGCCACACUGGGACUGAGACACGGCCCAGACUCCCACGGGAGGCAGCAGUAGGGAAUUUUCGGCAAUGGGGGAAACCCUGACCGAGCAACGCCGCGUGAAGGAAGAAGUAAUUCGUUAUGUAAACUUCUGUCAUAGAGGAAGAACGGUGGAUAUAGGGAAUGAUAUCCAAGUGACGGUACUCUAUAAGAAAGCCACGGCUAACUACGUGCCAGCCGCCGCAGUAACAC
rnacentral:rRNA from 1 species